UUGCUGUCACCAGAAAGAGAGAGAGAUGGAAUGGAGUUCAAGCAGGGAAAAUUGAUAUAUAUCAUCUGCCUGCACCAAAGUAUAAGCAGUCACCAGCUGAUGUCAUGCAUUGCUUGAUGACGUUCAUAUUGCUGGAAAAACCUCUAGGACUGAAAAUAGCAGAAAUAUCUGUAAGAAAUUGGCAAGGCUGUACAGCCAUGAUCUGGCUUUGCCAUUCAAAGUU